GGCAGGCUGUUUUGGUGUGUGACAGAGAGUGUGUGUCGGUGUGUGACAGAGCGUGUGUCGCUGUUUGAGAGAGACACGGGCAGCGGGCGUGCUGUCGGACCGUUGACUCCAAUAUUUGCACCCUACUUCUGUGUAACGACGGUGGGAGUCGGACCGGAGCGGUGACCCGUAGCCCGGAGCAGGAGCCCUGAGCAGGAGCCCGAAGCAGUAGCAAGAGGCCGGAGCAGGAGCCCGGAGCAGGAGCCCGGAGCAGGAGCCCGGAGCCGCGCAGUGACGCACCUCGCAAGGGCAGGGGAUCAUGGGCUCCGCGUCCUCCUCCUACCGGGUGAUUUACCUGGACGUGGAAGGCAGGAUUCAGAAGGUGGUGUUCAGUAGAUUCUGCAGCCCCUGUGACAUCAAGGAGCUGUUCUGUACAGCCUUGGGUGUGCCAAGGAACACAAACCUGUCCCUGCUGGAUUCCACUGGAGCCAUGGUGUCCAUCGACCCCACUAUGCCACACAACACAGAGAGGUCACCGUACCGGGUGGUACCUUUGACUGGAGGACAACUUGCUGAUAAAGAGGAACUCUUUCAGAAUGUACUGACGCAGGUGGCAGAACAGUUCUCAAGGGCAUUCAAGAUCAACGAGCUGAAGACCGAGGUCACCAACCGUCUGGCCAUGCUGGAGAAAAGAGUGGAACUGGAGGGGAUGAAGGUGGUUGAGAUUGAGAAAUGUCGCAACGACAUUAAGAAGCUCCGUGAGGAGAUGACCUCCAGAAACAACAGUAACUUCCUGGAAGACAACAAGAAGCUGACUCCGCGCAGAGACGUGCCCUCCUACCCAAAGUACCAUCUGUCUAAGGAGACAGUAGAAGCUCUUAGAUUGCCUACAUUCGAUGCUUGGCAGUGGGAGCCUAAUGAGAUGCUCAGCUGUCUGGAACACAUGUACCAUGACCUGGGCCUGGUCCGAGACUUCAACAUCAACCCCAUCACUCUGAAGAGAUGGCUGCUUUGUAUCCAUGACAACUACAAGAACAACCCCUUCCACAACUUCCGCCACUGUUUCUGUGUGACCCAGAUGAUGUACAGCAUGAUCUGCCUCUGCAGCCUCCAGGAGAGGUUUACUCAGGUCGAUGUUUUGAUUCUCAUGACAGCUGCUGUGUGUCAUGAUCUCGAUCACCCCGGGUUCAACAACACGUAUCAGGUAAAUGCCAGGACAGAUCUGGCAGUCCGUUACAAUGACAUCUCCCCCCUGGAGAACCAUCACUGUGCGGUGGCCUUUCAGAUCUUCUCUCAGCCUGACUGCAACAUCUUCUCCACGUUUGACCCCGAGUCCUUCAAGCAGAUACGACAAGGCACCAUCACACUGAUCCUGGCCACAGACAUGGCCCGGCACGGUGAGAUCCUGGAUUCCUUCAAGCAGAAAGUGGACAGUUUCGACUACACAGACGAGGAGCACUCCACCUGUCUGAAGAUGGUGCUCAUAAAGUGCUGCGAUAUCUCCAACGAGGUGCGGCCCAUGGAGGUCGCGGAACCCUGGGUGGACUGCCUGCUGGAGGAGUACUUCAUGCAGAGUGACAGGGAGAAGGCUGAAGGGCUUCCUGUGGCUCCGUUCAUGGACAGAGAGAAGGUCACCAAGCCCACGGCUCAGAUUGGUUUCAUCAAAUUCGUGCUCAUCCCCAUGUUUGAGACAGUGAUGAAGCUGUUCCCACAGAUUGAGGAGGCGAUGGUGCAGCCACUCAGAGAGUCAAGAGACCGGUAUGAAGAACUCAAACAAAUUGAUGACGCCAUGAAUGAGGUUGGAGGAUUUCUAGAAGUGCGUGGCUGAAUGUCUUUGGUGUUUCUGCGGCUGAUAACAACAUGAACAACAUGUUCCCUUCAGGUGCAGAAAAUGAAAAGUGAGAACUUGACCAUGAAGAAGAAGUAAGUGAGUGUAGAGCACCAGUGUGAAGCAGUGUGUGGUCAGACCCCCCCCCCCGCUCCGUGAUGGCUGCAGGCUCUGGUCCCGGCGCUGCAGGAGGACGUGAUGGAGAGGAUCUGAGACAACGUUACAAACCAGCAGGGACUCCAGGACCGGACAGACAAUCCAAAGCCUUUCUGGAAGUGUCCCCCUUUGUACAGCACGACUACUUCAGUGAACUAUAUUUAGAUACAUUUCUUGCAUUGUUUUUUUAUUUGAAAUGUGUUGUUUUUUACAGAUUGUACAGAUUUUUUUAGUGACCUUUGUUCUUUCCUACAAAAAUUAAAAGGAUGACUUUAAUUACCAUAUCCUGUGUGGACUUAAGUGUCUCUGCUUAUUGUUGUUGAUUAUUACCAUUCUGAACACAAUGCUUGUUCAAAAAUGUGUCAUAAUCAGGCUUGGAAUUUCGUCAUUUUAGGGGCAAAGCCAUUUGACCUUUUGUGUCACAUUAUUUUUUUAGCCCACAAAGGCCAUUUAGGAAAAAAAUUGGAUUUGGAGCUUACAAAUAAACAGCUUAACUUUCUGAUAAUAAAAACACAUGAAUGACAUGGAAAACAAAUCACUUUUUUACUACACUGCGCAUUGAAUAGAGUAGUUUUUCAUUCAAUGUGUGCUGCAAAAAAUAAAUCACAAGUGGAGCAAAGCGCUCGCAGCCCCACUGAAACAUCCAUUUCAUAAGUCAGAGCUGAUGGCUGUAAGUGUGUGUACGAAAAGUAUAGUUAUGCAGAGGAGACGAGAGAGCUUAGACUACAUCACCAGCGGUAAAUAAUACAAACAGAAAAUGAAAGAAGUUGACCAUCUACUGGAGCUUUGGUGAGCUGAAGUAUAGUUUAUGUUGAUGUCUGUGUUAGCCUGUAGGCUAUCCAUCUGCUGGAUAAUUGAUAUUGUAACCACGGCGAUGAGUGUCUGUUUUCCUACAGUCUGAUGUUUUCAUGCUGAGGCAUCACGGUUGUUGUUGUUAAGUUUUGCUUUGUGAUAGCACUCUUUACUCCAUGUAUUAAAGGUACAAAAAGCCUUUAUAUAUCUAAGUUGUUCGUGCCCCACCAGUUUUGUACAUAUAAAAAACGCCACUGGGUGAGGAGAAGCGAGGUUCCUAGAGAGAGAGACAGGGGAAUGCUAUGGGAGAGCUAACGGUAUAUGUGUGAGAGUAAUAAUUAACGUACUUCUUUGUUGUUUAGGCAUGGUUCCGGACGACAGUAACCUGUCUCAGAAGUGAAUAAACUCACGGACAAAAAGAGACACGAGGCCUCCUUGUAUUCUUAUAGCGAGACGCUGCAAUGAGGAUUGAAUGAUGCGAUGAUGACAUGUUAGGUGCGCUUAACCAAUCCAAGCAACAAGGACUAAUGCAGUUCAGAGCCCAUACCACCACUCUGACAUUUUUAAAGCAACUUCGAGAUUUUAACCCCACACACACACACGGCACAGUUGGAAGAUCGCUGCAACGUUUAUUUAUACAUCAGCCACACUGCCAUGUGGUGAAGCACAAGCUCUCAAGUGUUUCAUCAAAUAAUCGCAUUCCACUCGUAUCAAUCACACAAAGCUUCAAAAAUAAAUGUUCCGUGUCCGUUCAGGAAGAUCACUUUGUUACAACUUCUCUUUCCUGGCCUUCUUGUUGCUGUUGGCUUUCUGUGCCCCCACCCUCUUCAGUUGCUGCUCCUCCAGUCUCUGCUGCUUCUUCUGCAGGUACGUCGUCACGUUGUCGAAGUUCACCUUGUACAGGUGCUCGAAGCGGCUGUCAGUCCUUAAGGAGGCUGU